rnacentral:piRNA from 1 species
UGGUUAGUUCUCCUAACUAUGGGGCUC